rnacentral:lncRNA from 1 species
AUCCCUGAUCUAUCUAUCCCAAGUUGCCUUGGGUCUGAGAUUUCUACAGUAACUCAAUCGGUCACCAGCUUUGUGCCAUAGGUUUCCCCACGCGUUAAAAAAUUGUCAAAACUGGACUUCAAUAACUGAAGUGAAGCAGUACUUCAAAGCUUCAGGUUCUUUGUGCCUUCAGUACUGGCUCUGGAGAUCUAUCUGAGUUUAAUUCUUCCAAGGUGGCAUGAUGUAAGGAGAGGUGCGUUUAAUAUUGUCUUGUUGUGAGUGCUGGUCCAUG